CCUACGGGAGACAGCAGUGGGGAAUAUUGCACAAUGGGGGAAACCCUGAUGCAGCAAAGCCGCGUGAAGGAAGACGGUUUUCGGAUUGUAAACUUCUGUUCUUAGUGAAGAAUAAUGACGGUAGCUAAGGAGCAAGCCACGGCUAACUACGUGCCAGCAGCCGCGGUAAUACGUAGGUGGCAAGCGUUGUCCGGAAUUACUGGGUGUAAAGGGAGCGCAGGCGGGAAGACAAGUCAGCUGUGAAAACUACGGGCUUAACUUGGAGACUGCAGUUGAAACUGGUUUUCUUGAGUGAAGUAGAGGGUGGCGGAAUGCCGAGUGUAGCGGUGAAAUGCGUAGAUAUUCGGAGGAACACCGGUGGCGAAGGCGGCCAACUGGGCUUUAACUGACGCUGAGGCUCGAAAGUGUGGGGAGCGAACAGGAUUAGAUACCCCGGUAGUC
rnacentral:rRNA from 1 species